rnacentral:rRNA from 1 species
UACGGGGGGGGGCAAGCGUUGUUCGGAAUUACUGGGCGUAAAGGGCUCGUAGGCGGCCAACUAAGUCGGAUGUGAAAUCCCCAGGCUUAACCUGGGAACUGCAUCCGAUACUGGAUGGCUUGAAUCCGGGAGAGGGAUGCAGAAUUCCAGGUGUAGCGGUGAAAUGCGUAGAUAUCUGGAGGAAUACCGGUGGCGAAGGCGGCAUCCUGGACCGGCAUUGACGCUGAUGAGCGAAAGCCAGGGGAGCGAACGGG